UAAACUAGGAUUAGAUACCCUAUUAUUUUAAUCGUUAAUUUGUCCUGAGUAGUAAUAGUUAUGUUCUUUAAACUCAAAGAAUUUGGCGGUGUUUUAGUCUAUUUAGAGGAAUUUGUCCCGUAAUCGAUAGUCCUCGUUUUAUCUUUCUUAAUUUUGUUUAAUCAGUAUGUAUAUCGCCGUUAUAAGUUUAUUUUUUUAGAAAUUAAAAUUUACUUUAAAAUUUAAUAAUUUGUAUUUCAGGUCAAGGUGCAGCUUAUAAUUAAGUGGAGAUGAAUUACAAUAUUAUCUUAAUAUAUGGAUUAUAAAUUAAAAUUUUAUAUGAAGGUGGAUUUAAUAGUAAUUUUAAUAAUAAUGUUAUUUUGAUUUUAGCUCUAAAACAAGUACACAUCG
rnacentral:rRNA from 1 species